CUCAAACCCUAUCGUCUCCUCCUCAGCUGCAGUAGAUAUCGGCGCCUCCUCCAGCGCCUCUUUUUCCCUUUUCCCCAUCCUCGCAUCGGGCAGAGCAGUGGCUCUCAGUGUGCCCAAACCCUAGCUUCGCACUACACAGCUCGCCAGAUCUCGCCCACGCGGAUCCGGCCCUUGCCGCAGUGGACCAUGCCCCUCCAUGUUUGGAGUCCCGACGGCUGGCUCGUCUCCCACCUUCCAUGACCACGGUGGGCACGGUGAACUGCACGAACAACACGACCUCGGCGAACCAGCAUGGAGGACUGUCCGCGUGGUGCAGGCCCCAACUGCGCGCGUGGUGCAGGGGCAUGGCGACGGCCGGCUCCAGGAGGUGAGGAUCUCCUUCUCUCCUCUUUUUAUUUUUUUAUUUAGGGUCAGGGUUAGGGAUUCGGGAAAUAGAAGACUAUUCCUUCUAAUUGCAUAGCUCAUGGACUGAAUCACCCUUAAUUUCAUAAGACUAGAUCUAAUCAUGAUUUGUCUCAGGUCCCAUAAACUGCUCUAGUAUUUUUGGAAAAGCAUUAGGGACUAAUCUUCUAGUAAUUUGAUCAAACCUGCUCUUCUUUGAAGACUGAACAUCAUAUCUG
rnacentral:lncRNA from 1 species